AACGAACGCUGGCGGCGUGGAUAAGACAUGCAAGUCGAACGAGACUUUUCGUUGUAGCAAUACGAUGGAAAGUUUAGUGGCGAACGGGUGCUUAGCACGUGGGCAACCUGCCAGGAAGUGGGGGAUAGCUCGCCGAAAGGCGAAUUAAUACCGCAUGUGAUUAGAAAGGACAUCCUUUCGAAAUUAAAGUCGGGGCAACCUGACGCUUCUUGUGGGGCCCGCGGCCUAUCAGCUAGUUGGUGAGGUAAUGGCUCACCAAGGCUUUGACGGGUAGCUGGUCUGAGAGGACGACCAGCCACACUGGACUGAGACACAGCCCAGACACCUACGGGUGGCAGCAGUCGAGAAUUUUUGACAAUGGGGGAAACCCUGAUCGAGCGACGCCGCGUGGAGGAUGAAGGUCUUCGGAUUGUAAACUCCUGUCAUUGGGGAACAAGGUGCAUACGUUAACUGCGUGUGCAUUGAUAGUACCCGAAGAGGAAGAGACGGCUAACUCUGUGCCAGCAGCCGCAGUAAAAC
rnacentral:rRNA from 1 species